UGCUGUUUACUCGGCUUUCACCUGAAGAAUGUAAAAAAGUAAAAGCGGAGCGAGAGGCUGAUGCAUUUACACCAAAAAGCUUGAAGAAAUCCAGAUUGUUGAAUCGAUCAAAAGCAAAGCAGUUAAUUGAGAAAGCAAAAGACCUGCAGAAGAACAAAUCAAAAUCACCUGGGAAGACAUUGGUGCCAUUGAGACGUUCAUCACGACAACAGGCUCUUGCUGACAGAAAAUCUUCUGAAGAGGUGCAUAUAGUAGAUGAAGAUUCUGGCUCAGACUGCAAGAUUGUCUCUGUCCAGCAGCAGAAGAAAAAAAAGAAGCUUCGAUCCAUAAAUGAUGUGUUGGGGAAGAGCAUCGACAAUGCAAAGAACUCUGCA